rnacentral:rRNA from 1 species
AUGAAGAUAGAGUUGAAGAGAGAAGAGCCCGGAGAGAUCAACAAGGAUGAUGGGAUCAAGAAGGCCAUGGGGGACCAAGUUCCGGCAGUAGCAGAAGAAGACAUCCUUCAACCUCACCACAAUCUCUUUACCCCAAUGGAGAUUGAGGCUUUCAAGAUGAUUGAGUUGGCUCGUAUUCAAAACACGUAUCUCACAAGUGAAAAUAUUUUGUUGAAGGAGCAUAUCAUCGCACUCAAGGGCAUUAUCCGCAAAUUGGAGGAUCUCCUACGCUCGAUGUGCGACUAUCCAUCAUCACCAACACCUUCUUCACCAACAAAGAAGAACUGA